AGAGUUUGAUCAUGGCUCAGGACGAACGCUGGCGGCGUGCUUAACACAUGCAAGUCGAACGAUGAUGGAGAGCUUGCUCUUUGGAUUAGUGGCGAACGGGUGAGUAACACGUGAGCAAUCUGCCCUUGACUCUGGGAUAAGCGUUGGAAACGACGUCUAAUACCGGAUACGACCUUUGGAGGCAUCUCUGGGGGUGGAAAGAAUUUUGGUCAGGGAUGAGCUCGCGGCCUAUCAGCUAGUUGGUGAGGUAAUGGCUCACCAAGGCGACGACGGGUAGCCGGCCUGAGAGGGUGACCGGCCACACUGGGACUGAGACACGGCCCAGACUCCUACGGGAGGCAGCAGUGGGGAAUAUUGCACAAUGGGCGAAAGCCUGAUGCAGCAACGCCGCGUGAGGGACGACGGCCUUCGGGUUGUAAACCUCUUUUAGUAGGGAAGAAGCGAAAGUGACGGUACCUGCAGAAAAAGCACCGGCUAACUACGUGCCAGCAGCCGCGGUAAUACGUAGGGUGCAAGCGUUGUCCGGAAUUAUUGGGCGUAAAGAGCUCGUAGGCGGUUUGUCGCGUCUGCUGUGAAAACCCGAGGCUCAACCUCGGGCCUGCAGUGGGUACGGGCAGACUAGAGUGCGGUAGGGGAGAUUGGAAUUCCUGGUGUAGCGGUGGAAUGCGCAGAUAUCAGGAGGAACACCAAUGGCGAAGGCAGAUCUCUGGGCCGUAACUGACGCUGAGGAGCGAAAGCAUGGGGAGCGAACAGGAUUAGAUACCCUGGUAGUCCAUGCCGUAAACGUUGGGAACUAGAUGUGGGGACCAUUCCACGGUCUCCGUGUCGCAGCUAACGCAUUAA
rnacentral:rRNA from 1 species